UCUUCAUUCGCCUGCCCACCAUCAUUGUUCAAACCGACUCUAUGAACUACAAAGCGGUUACAUCAUGGUGACUGAAAUGAAGAAAUGUGUUAUUGGGUGUAGGCUCUUCUAUUUUGUAUGUUCGAGGCGUAGAUUGACUCAAGGUUACAUUCUGGUGACUGAAAUGAAGAGAUGUGUUGAUGGGUGUAGGCUCUUCUAUUUUGUAUGUUCAAGCUGGAGAUUGACUAGCAUGCACCGGUCAGCUGUGAAGCGCACUUGUAGGAAUUCGUUGCUCUAUCUGUCCACUUCCGUCUAUCAUCUGGUUUCCAUGGGCACCCGUGAACUGGCAUGAAGGUUGAACGCACAUUGGUGUGCUCUGAAAAUUAGUACUUAACUUGUGGUUGCUUUAAUUUGCUGCUUUCCAAGCAAGCAUGUUUAGCAAGUUUACAUGUGAACUCAUCCUGCUUGCAUCUUGGUGUGUGCGCAAGCAUGCGCACGCUUGGUUAUCUUGUGUGUUGCAUCAAUGAGUUAGGUUCCGCCGCUAUUUUUGCUUGUGUUCCAUGAUGCCCCAUUGUGGUUCUGAGCUCAGUCUUUUGAAAGCUUGUUCUGGUUAAUGAAUGUUGAACUGCUUCGGUGUUUAAUGAGGCAGCUCCCACUUGUUGAACUGGACCUGCAUAAGUAGCAAUAAUAGCAUGGAUUUGGCCUCUAUACAUUGCUGCCUGCCUUUGUUUGCUUUUAAGUUUCUUAAACUUUUUUUUUACUCUGGAGGUGUUUACGAAGAAACACUUUGUGCCUGACGCUAACUUUGUAAAAGGAAUGAGCUCUUCAGAUUUGAGUGGUAAUAGUAUUAUUAGCUCUAGUUUUAUCUGCACAAGGUCUCUGAGUGUUAUACAGUUGCUUCAGCUCUGGCACUGGCAGGAGCAAACUCCGGUUGUAGCCGGGAGAAAAACAGAAUGCAGUACG